rnacentral:rRNA from 1 species
GAUGAACGCUGGCGGCGUGCUUAACACAUGCAAGUCGAACGAUGCAGCUCAGCUUGCUGGGUGGGUUAGUGGCGAACGGGGGAGUAACACGUGACUAGCGUGCCCUUUACUCUGGGAUAAGCCUGAACAACUGGGUCUAAUACUUGAUAUGACUUCUCCUCGCCUGGUGGGGGGUGGGGGGAUUUAUCGGUCUUGGAUGGUGUCGCGGCCUAUCAGCUUGUUGGUGGGGUGAUGGCUCACCAAGGCGACGACGGGUAGCCGGCCUGAGAGGGUGACCGGCCACACUGGGCCUGUGCCAGGGGCCGGAGUGCUAAGUGUGGCAGCAGGGGCGAAUAUUGCACGAUGGGCGGAAGCGUGAGGCAGCGAGGCCGCGGGGGUGAGGACGUCCUUCGGGUUGGAAACCGCUUUCGGUAGGGAUGAAGCGGUAGUGACGGUACCGGCAGAAGAAGCGCCGGCUAACUACGUG